rnacentral:rRNA from 1 species
CGCGUAGGCGGUCUAUUAAGUCUGAUGUGAAAGGUACCGGCUCAACCGGUGAAGUGCAUUGGAAACUGGUAGACUUGAGUAUUGGAGAGGCAAGUGGAAUUCCUAGUGUAGCGGUGAAAUGCGUAGAUAUUAGGAGGAACACCAGUGGCGAAGGCGGCUUGCUGGACAAAUACUGACGCUGAGGUGCGAAAGCGUGGGGAGCAAACA